UUCCGGUUGAUCCUGCCGGAGGAUACUGCUAUUCGGAUCCGACUAAGCCAUGCGAGUCGAGAGGGGUAAGCCCUCGGCGAACUGCUCAGUAAUAUGUAGCUAACCUACCCUUGGGUUGGGGAUAAACUCGGGAAACUGAGCUCAAUACCCAAUAGGAAUUUGGCUCUGGAAUGACCAAAUUCCCAAAGCUCCGGCGCCCAAGGAUGGGGCUACAUCUUAUCAGCCUGUUGGGGGUGUAACGAACCCUCAAAGCUAUAACGGGUACGGGCCGUGAGAGCGGAAGCCCGGAGAUGGAUUCUGAGACAUGAAUCCAGGUCCUACGGGACGCAGCAGGCGCGAAACCUUCGCAAUGUGCUAACGCACGACGAGGGGAUCCGAAGUGCUGCAGCACUGCUGCAGCUUUUGCCAAGUCCAAACAGCUUGGCGAAUAAGGGGUGGGUAAGACAGGUGCCAGCCGCCGCGGUAAUACCUGCGCCCCAAGUGGUAUCCACUAUUAUUGGGCCUAAAGCGUCCGUAGCCGGUUUGGCAAGUCUCCGGUGAAAUUCACUAGUAAACUAGUGAGCUUGUCGGAGAUACUACCAGACUUGGGACCGGGAGAGGGUAGGGGUACUCCUAGGGGAGGGGUAAAAUCCUAUAAUCCUAGGGGGACCACCGGUGGCGAAGGCGCCUACCUAGAACGGUUCCGACGGUGAGGAACGAAAGCUAGGGGAGCGAUCGGGAUUAGAUACCCCGGUGGUCCUAGCCGUAAACGAUGCCCGCUUGGUGUUGCAGCCUUCUUGGGAGGUUGCAGUGCCGAAGUGAAGAUGUUAAGCGGGCCGCCUGGGGAGUACGGCCGCAAGGUUGAAACUUAAAGGAAUUGGCGGGGGAGCACACAAGGGGUGGAGGCUAC
rnacentral:rRNA from 1 species